GGGGGGGGGGGGGGGGGGGGGGGGGGGGGGGGGGGGGGGGGGGGGGGCGCGGGUGUGGGGGGGUGCUCGAGGGGCGAAGGGGGGGGUGCCGCUUGAGUGGGGUGCCCUUGGCGGUGGGAUAACUGCAGAAGGCUGGGGCGAAUACCGGGUAGGGGCUCCGACUGCAUGGUGGGGGUUGGCAGGUUUCGGCGGUUGGGGAUGGACUCGCGGCUUAUCAGCUCGUUGGUGGGGGAGUGGCUUACCAAGGCUUUGACGGGUGGCAGGCAUGAGAGGGUGACCGGACAAAUUGGGACUGAGAUACGGCCCAGACUCCUACGGGAGGAAGCAGUGGGGAAUAUUGCAAAAUGGGCGGAAGCCUGAUGCAGCAAAGCCGAGUGCGGGAUGACGGCCGUCGGGUUGUAAACCGCUUUCGCCUGUGACGAAGCGUGAGUGACGGUAAUGGGUAAAGAAGCACCGGCUAACUACGUG
rnacentral:rRNA from 1 species